rnacentral:rRNA from 1 species
CCAGCUCCAAUAGCGUAUAUUAAAGUUGUUGCAGUUAAAAAGCUCGUAGUUGAAUAUCUGGCCGGUGCUGUUCUUGGCUCCCUGAGUCGGCUCAGCGCCUGGUCAUCCGUAUGGGAAACUAGCUCGACCUUCACUGGUCGGCUAGUGGAUCAUACACUUUACUUUGAAAAAAUUAGAGUGUUUCAGGCAGGCAAUUGCUUGGAUACUGUAGCAUGGAAUAAUGGAAUAGGACUUUGACCUAUUUGUUGGUUUCUCGAGGUCAAAGUAAUGAUUAAUAGGGACAGUUGGGGGCAUUCGUAUUUAAUUGUCAGAGGUGAAAUUCUUGGAUUUUUUAAAGACGAACUUAUGCGAAAGCAUUUGCCAAGGAUGUUUUCA